ensembl:lncRNA
UGAAACGAUAGACAAUUAUGUGCAAUUAACUUGAUAUUCCGCUCACUUACAGGUUUUCUGUGUUUGCCAGGGAAUCGCUGCAAGUAACGAUUAAAGAAACCAAACUGCAACUUACCUUUCUCCCUUAAGGUUGUGUGUGUGUGUGUGUGUUUAAAGUAACGGUGCAGUUCUCCCAAUAAGGAUGAGCAAGAAGCAGCUGGAGAGUUCUCUUAAGACAGCACGAAACCUAAACUGUGGACAGCUUAAAAGAAGCAAAUAAAAAGAAAUGCUUCCGACCCCCAACGUCCAACACUAAACGGAAUGGGGAGGGGGGAGGGAAUAAAAGGGGAGGGGAAACUUAAAAAGAGUAAAAAAAAAAGAGAGAGACAGACAGAGAGAAAGACACUAUCCUAUUGCUUUUCAACUAAACAAAAAGGGGUAAAGAGAAACAAAUGAAGGAACAAAGAAAAGGGAUGAAAGAACGUAUUUUUUUUAAAAGCCGGUGUCUUUCUCCGUGUUGCUUUUUAGUGGCUCGCUACAGAAGUAAGCUGCUGCAUCUCUAAGUGAGAACAGAAAUAAGGGGGGAGGACGUCUUAAAAGGGAGGUGGACCGGACCACAGAUUUAUAGCAACCGUAUCACCAAGCCCUCCUCUGCCUCCGCACUGGCGUGUGUGCAGCUGCUGUGCCAGGCUCCUAUCCCGGGCAGCACGCGCGGAAGUAUACGCCAGACCUGACUGCAACGCAACUUGCUCAUCGCUGUGGGACUGCGAUUGGUGCAGGCGCGCUCUUCUGAGCCGCCCAAGCGAGGAGCCCCGAUACGAUUGGCUGAGAUCCUAUGUCACUCUCGGACACUCAAUGGAGUCCCGUUUCAAGACAUCUACUAGAACUCUCUGCCCUAAGAAGAUCCAUAGAACAUUGAUUUCUUGAUGAUAACAUCAUCUUUCAAAAGCUAGAGGAACCAACAAGGUAAAAUUCUAUAUUGAAUCUGGCUCUCACUAUUAGGGAGAUACUGUUUGCUGAGGUAGAAAUAAUGAGAACCUUGGGGAGGAAAGGGUCCACCCUCCCUAGAGGAGAGGAAAGCCAAGACAGUCUGUCAAACACCCUCAAUAUUGGCCCAUCAGGUUUCAAAAGGAGUCCAAGGAAAGAGAGUUGAACUAAAGUUCUACAAAGUGUAUCAGCCAGAAAUAAUUAGAAACUGAUAAAAUUCUGAAGAUAGAAAAAGAAAAAAAUUCAGUGAGGAAGAAGAGCAGGAUUUAUCUGAAGAGACCAACAUGGAUUCACAGGGAAAGGCUCACCCCCAAAACAGAUGUAGAUUUUAAAUAGAUUGGGGAAAAAAUUUAAAAUGUACAAUAAGAUGUAUUGUGGAAAGGAAAACUAGACUAACAGUUUGUGUGGGGGAAGGGCCAACUGGGAGUGGCAGUGGGGUCUUGUGACUAAGAGUUCCUUCCGGCCCUGUGGGACUUGCUUCCGGGUGUUGGAGGAGAGAGGAGCUUGUUCAGCCCAGUCUGGAGUGGCAUGCUCUUCUUGGUUCAGCUCAAAGACACAGGCUUCUAAAGGUUAGAAUUGUU